rnacentral:rRNA from 1 species
AUUGAACGCUGGCGGCAUGCCUUACACAUGCAAGUCGAACGGCAGCACGGGGCAACCCUGGUGGCGAGUGGCGAACGGGUGAGUAAUGCAUCGGAACGUGCCCAGUAGUGGGGGACAACCAGUCGAAAGAUUGGCUAAUACCGCAUACGACCUAUGGGUGAAAGCGGGGGCCCGUAAGGCCUCGCGCUAUUGGAGCGGCCGAUGUCUGAUUAGCUAGUUGGUGAGGUAAAAGCUCACCAAGGCGACGAUCAGUAGCUGGUCUGAGAGGACGACCAGCCACACUGGGACUGAGACACGGCCCAGACUCCUACGGGAGGCAGCAGUGGGGAAUUUUGGACAAUGGGCGCAAGCCUGAUCCAGCCAUGCCGCGUGCGGGAAGAAGGCCUUCGGGUUGUAAACCGCUUUUGGCAGGAACGAAACGGCGACUUCUAAUACGAGUCGUUAAUGACGGUACCUGCAGAAUAAGCACCGGCUAACUACGUGCCAGCCGCCGCAGUAACAC